GACGAACGCUGGCGGCGUGCUUAACACAUGCAAGUCGAACGGAAAGGCCCUGCUUUUGUGGGGUGCUCGAUUGGCGAACGGGUGAGUAACACGUGAGUAACCUGCCCUUGACUUUGGUAUAACUUCAGGAAACUGGGGCUAAUACCGGAUAGGAGCUCCUGCUGCAUGGUGGGGGUUGGAAAGUUUCGGCGGUUGGGGCUGGACUCGCGGCUUAUCAGCUUGUUGGUGGGGUAGUGGCUUACCAAGGCUUUGACGGGUAGCCGGCCUGAGAGGGUGACCGGCGACAUUGGGACUGAGAUACGGCGCAGACUCCUACGGGAGGCAGCAGUGGGGAAUAUUGCACAGUGGGCGGAAGCCUGAUGCAGCAACGCCGCGUGCGGGAUGACGGCCUUCGGGUUGUAAACCGCUUUCGCCUGUGACGAAGCGUGAGUGACGGUAAUGGGUAAAGAAGCACCGGCUAACUACGUG
rnacentral:rRNA from 1 species